rnacentral:rRNA from 1 species
AUUGAACGCUGGCGGCAGGCCUAACACAUGCAAGUCGGACGGUAGCACAGAGGAGCUUGCUCCUUGGGUGACGAGUGGCGGACGGGUGAGUAAUGUCUGGGGAUCUGCCCGAUAGAGGGGGAUAGCCACUGGAAACGGUGGCUAAUACCGCAUAACGUCGCAAGACCAAAGAGGGGGACCUUCGGGCCUCUCACUAUCGGAUGAACCCAGAUGGGAUUAGCUAGUAGGCGGGGUAAUGGCCCACCUAGGCGACGAUCCCUAGCUGGUCUGAGAGGAUGACCAGCCACACGGGAACUGAGACACGGUCCAGACUCCUACGGGAGGCAGCAGUGGGGAAUAUUGCACAAUGGGCGCAAGCCUGAUGCAGCCAUGCCGCGUGUAUGAAGAAGGCCUUCGGGUUGUAAAGUACUUUCAGCGGGGAGGAAGGCGGUGCGGUUAAUAACCGCGCCGAUUGACGUUACCCGCAGAAGAAGCACCGGCUAACUCCGUGCCAGCCGCCGCCGUAA